rnacentral:rRNA from 1 species
CAAUAGCGUAUAUUAAAGUUGUUGCAGUUAAAAGCUCGUAGUUGGAUUUCUGGUGGGAGCACGGGUCGGCCUUCACGGGUUGUACUGUUGUUGCGUCCUGCCGUUUCGGAGGGAAUGGUCAUGUUAUUAGGUUAGCGUGAUCGGAAACUCUGUCGUUUACUGUGAAAAAUUAGAGUGUUCAAAGCAGGCCUUCGCUGUGAAUACAUUAGCAUGGAAUAAUAAGAUAGGACUGUAGUGCUAUUUUGUUGGUUUGCGUACUAUGGUAAUGAUUAAUAGGGAUAGUUGGGGUGAUUUCAUAUUCAAUUGUCAGAGGUGAAAUUCUUGGAUUUAAUGGAAGAUUGAACUACUGCGAAAGCAUUUACCAAGGAU